rnacentral:rRNA from 1 species
AGUGGCGGACGGGUGAGUAACGCGUGAGAAUCUGCCUUGGGGUCGGGGACAACCACUGGAAACGGUGGCUAAUACCGGAUAAGCCGAUUGGUGAAAGAUUUAUUGCCCGAAGAGGAGCUCGCGUCUGAUUAGCUAGUUGGUGAGGUAAGAGCUCACCAAGGCAGCGAUCAGUAGCUGGUCUGAGAGGACGAUCAGCCACACUGGGACUGAGACACGGCCCAGACUCCUACGGGAGGCAGCAGUGGGGAAUUUUCCGCAAUGGGCGAAAGCCUGACGGAGCAAGACCGCGUGAGGGAGGAAGGCUCUUGGGUUGUAAACCUCUUUUCUCAGGGAAGAAGCUCUGACGGUACCUGAGGAAUCAGCCUCGGCUAACUCCGUGCCAGCAGCCGCGGUAAUACGGAGGAGGCAAGCGUUAUCCGGAAUUAUUGGGCGUAAAGCGUCCGCAGGUGGCGAUUCAAGUCUGCUGUCAAAGCACGGGGCUUAACUCCGUAAAGGCAGUGGAAACUGAAUAGCUAGAGUGCCGUAGGGGUAGGGGGAAUUCCCGGUGUAGCGGUGAAAUGCGUAGAGAUCGGGAAGAACAUCGGUGGCGAAAGCGCUCUACUGGACGGCAACUGACACUCAGGGACGAAAGCUAGGGGAGCGAAUGGGAUUAGAUACCCC